rnacentral:rRNA from 1 species
CGGACGGGUGAGUAACACGUGGAUAACCUACCUAUAAGACCGGGAUAACUUCGGGAAACCGGAGCUAAUACCGGAUAAUAUUUUGAACCGCAUGGUUCAAAAGUGAAAGACGGUCUUGCUGUCACUUAUAGAUGGAUCCGCGCUGCAUUAGCUAGUUGGUAAGGUAACGGCUUACCAAGGCAACGAUGCAUAGCCGACCUGAGAGGGUGAUCGGCCACACUGGAACUGAGACACGGUCCAGACUCCUACGGGAGGCAGCAGGC